rnacentral:lncRNA from 1 species
ACUAGUGUUACAGCUAGAAUAAAUCUAAGGUUGGAUCUCUGGGAGAGCAAAUCCUGUCCUCAUUUUUGUUAAGAAAUAAAUAAAAGGCAUGAGUUAAAAAUUAUCCAAAAGGAGGAGGAGGGCAUGUAGGCUGGGCAGAGGGAAGACAACAAGGUUUGAAAAAAGAAGAGAGGAUAUAGAUGGAAGAAAACCAGUCAGAAGAAUAUCUUGAAGAAUGAGUGGUUUUUUUGGUUUGGUUUUGGUUGUUUUGGUACCAGGGACUGAACUCAGGACCUUGCACUUGCGAGGCACGCAGCAUAACCACUGAGCUAAAUCCCUGGCCCAACUUUCUGCAUCUCUCUCUUGUUGGAGCAGGCUAAUGAUUGACUGCUGUCUUAGCCUUUUGUUGCUGGCAAGGUCCUGGAAGAAACUGAAAGUCUUUGAGCAACAAUGGAUUAAACUGCUUUAGGAAAUUCUGAGCUGAUGAACAUCAAAUUGGCAGGUUGAGUUUGAUGGAUCCUCUGCUGUUGAGAGAGUUGUUGGAGGCUGUAGAACAAUGAAGGAAUGAGCAAAGUGUAUGCUGCACUGGCUGUGAAAUAUCUCUGGUUUGCAGUGAUGCACAUAAAUUGAACUCAUCCCCAGUGACCAGAGCAUGUCACAUUACCAAGCCCACCUUCAGGAGCUUUUAGCCUUUGGAGGAAACACUACAUUCAGAGGAACUAAAUGGACAUUUUCUAGACAGAUACUAAUGUGUGACAAUAAAUGCAUAGAAUAAAGAACGAUGUUUGAAUACAGUGAAGAAAAGCUGUUUCUUUAGUGAGAAACAAAGAUUCAAGAUUGAGCUGAUCCUAGUUUUGAAUUUAUAUGUGAAAAUCAUGGAACCCUGAUUUUUAUACUACCAAAGGCAAGGCACAAAAUGAUUAUUCACGAUUGCAUCAGGAAUAUGUAUUACAGGAUUAUUCCUAAUUUAGAGAGUCACUAAGCCUUUUCCUAUGAGAUAAUGGAUAGUCUCCUGGUAAGAACAACAUAUAUAU